UAGUCUCGCACAGAUGCAUAUCAAUAAGCGGAGGAAAAGGCUGCGGAACUGAACGACCGCUACCUACGCUUAGGAUGUUGACAGCAGUAUAGACUGUAGUCUCGCACAGAUGCAUAUCAAUAAGCGGAGGAAAAGAAACUAACAAGGAUUCCCCUAGUAACGGCGAGUGAAGCGGGAAGAGCUCAAAUUUGAAAUCUUAAAGGGUUUCCCUUUACGAAUUGUAGUUUAAAGAAGUGUUUUCUGUUGAGGUUUUGGUAAAAGUUCUUUGGAAUAGGACAUCAUAGAGGGUGAGAAUCCCGUAUUUGACCUUUACUUUCAACUUUGUGAUACACUUUCAAAGAGUCGGAUUGUUUGGGAAUGCAGUCCAAAAUGGGUGGUAAAUUUCAUCUAAAGCUAAAUAUUGGCGAGAGACCGAUAGCGAACAAGUACCGUGAGGGAAAGAUGAAAAGAACUUUGAAAAGAGAGUUAAACAGUACGUGAAAUUGUCAAAAGGGAAGCGUUUGACACCAGUGUUGUUUUUCUGAAAAUCAAUUAAAGAACUGUUUAUGCUAAGCUGUUUAGACUUUAUCAGCUAUCUGUUUAGUUUUGAGCUUUUCUUUAAUGCACUUUUCAGUUAACAAGUCAACAUCAAUUUCUUUUGCUGUAAAAAAGCUUGAGGAAGGUGGCUUGAGAUUCGUCUUAAGUGUUUAUAGCCUCUUGCCUAUGCAGUCGGAGAGAUUGAGGUCUGCAGCGUAGAUCCUUCGGGGCUAAAUGCAUUUGUGCUAAGUUAUAGCAUUUUAUAGACAACUUGUUGACUAUGAUUUGUCUUGUAGCUUACUCGCUUAUGUUAUUUUACCUACGCUUAGGAUGUUGACAGCAGUAUAGACUGU
rnacentral:rRNA from 1 species